UACGUAGGGGGCAAGCGUUGUCCGGAAUUAUUGGGCGUAAAGAGCGCGUAGGCGGUCCGAUAAGUCGGCUGUGAAAGUCAGGGGCUCAACCCUUGAAAGCCGGCCGAUACUGUCGGACUAGAGUCCGGAAGAGGCGAGUGGAAUUCCCGGUGUAGCGGUGAAAUGCGCAGAUAUCAGGAGGAAUACCGAUGGCGAAGGCAGGUCUCUGGGUCGAUACUGACGCUCAUGCACGAAAGCGUGGGGAGCAAACAGG
rnacentral:rRNA from 1 species